GACGAACGCUGGCGGCGUGCUUAACACAUGCAAGUCGAACGGUGAAGGGGUCUGCUUUUGUGGGCCCUGGAUGAGUGGCGAACGGGUGAGUAACACGUGAGUAACCUGCCCCCUUCUUCUGGAUAACCGCAUGAAAGUGUGGCUAAUACGGGAUAUUCUGGGUCUGUCGCAUGAUGGGUCUGGGAAAGAUUGCGCCUUUGGGUGUUUUUGGUGGGGGAUGGGCUCGCGGCCUAUCAGCUUGGUGGUGGGGUGAUGGCCUACCAAGGCGGGGACGGGUAGCCGGCCUGAGAGGGUGGACGGUCACACUGGGACUGCGACACGGCCCAGACUCCUACGGGAGGCAGCAGUGGGGAAUAUUGCACAAUGGGCGCAAGCCUGAUGCAGCGACGCCGCGUGAGGGAGGGAGGCCUUCGGGUUGUAAACCUCUUUCGCCAGUGAAGCAGGCCUGCUCCUUGUGGGUGGGUUGACGGUAGCUGGAUAAGAAGCGCCGGCUAACUACGUG
rnacentral:rRNA from 1 species